rnacentral:misc_RNA from 1 species
AGAGAGAGAGAGGGAGAGAGAGAUAGAGAGGGGAAAAAAUGGUAGUUGUAAAGUAUUUAAAAAGAAAUUAGAAGAGAGAAUAAUUUAAGAAAACUUCAAAAGUGAAAAAUAGAAUAUGAGCCGUCACGUUUAGAUGUAUUGUGAAGGGCUUGUGUUCAUUUAUUAUAUCCUAUUUGGGUAUCGUGCACAUUGACAAUGUAGAGGAAAUAUGUGUGAAAGCCAACAUUUUGGUUGCUAUGUGUGAAAGUCAACAUUUUGGUUGCUAACUGCGUGAAAAUUAAAUGCAUUGAUUGAAAUUGUGAGAAAUGGGAUUGAUAAGUCCAGCAGCUAGAUCAUUUUCCUGCUAUAAUUUUGAGCAUUCUUUCCUAAAAAUGAAUAUUUCCAUAUAUCCCUUGGGUAUUCUCCCCUAGCUACAACUGUUGGUAGUAGUUGUUUCCCACCCGAAAAUUUGUGUUUAAAUUGUCG